rnacentral:rRNA from 1 species
AGUGAACGCUGGCGGUAGGCCUAACACAUGCAAGUCGAACGGCAGCACAGGAGAGCUUGCUCUCUGGGUGGCGAGUGGCGGACGGGUGAGGAAUACAUCGGAAUCUACUCUGUCGUGGGGGAUAACGUAGGAAAACUUACGCUAAUACCGCAUACGACCUACGGGUGAAAGCAGGGGAUCUUCGGACCUUGCGCGAUUGAAUGAGCCGAUGUCGGAUUAGCUAGUUGGCAGGGUAAAGGCCCACCAAGGCGACGAUCCGUAGCUGGUCUGAGAGGAUGAUCGGCCACACUGGAACUGAGACACGGUCCAGACUCCUACGGGAGGCAGCAGUGGGGAAUAUUGGACAAUGGGCGCAAGCCUGAUCCAGCCAUACCGCGUGGGUGAAGAAGGCCUUCGGGUUGUAAAGCCCUUUUGUUGGGAAAGAAAUCCAGCUGGCUAAUACCCGGUUGGGAUGACGGUACCCAAAGAAUAAGCACCGGCUAACUUCGUGCCAGCCGCCGCAGUAA